rnacentral:piRNA from 1 species
UGUAUGUAGAUUGAACUCUGGACCUCAC